rnacentral:rRNA from 1 species
GCUGGCAACUAUCUCUCUGCAACUCUCACACGGUCGGCCACUGAAGCUAAGCAGGACUGAGCCUGGUCAGUACCUGGCUGGGUGACCACAUGGGAAGGCUAGGUUGCUGCCGGAA